GAUGAACGCUGGCGGCGUGCCUAAUACAUGCAAGUCGAGCGAACGGACGAGAAGCUUGCUUUUCUGAUGUUAGCGGCGGACGGGUGAGUAACACGUGGAUAACCUACCUAUAAGACUGGGAUAACUUCGGGAAACCGGAGCUAAUAUCGGAUAAUAUUUUGAACCGCAUGGUUCAAAAGUGAAAGACGGUCUUGCUGUCACUUAUAGAUGGAUCCGCGCGGCAUUAGCUAGUUGGUAAGGUAACGGCUUACCAAGGCAACGAGGCAUAGCCGACCUGAGAGGGUGGUCGCCCACCCUGGAACUGGGACGCGGUCCAGACUCCUACGGGAGGCCGCAGUAGGGAAUCUUCCGCAGUGGGCGAGAGCCUGACGGAGCGACGCCGCGUGAGUGAUGACGGUCUUCCGAUCGUAAAACUCUGUUAUUAGUGAAGAACAUAUGUGUAAGUGACUGUGCACAUCUUGACGGUACCUGAUCAGAAAGCCACGGCUAACUACGUG
rnacentral:rRNA from 1 species